CCUACGGGUGGCAGCAGUGGGGAAUAUUGCACAAUGGGGGAAACCCUGAUGCAGCGAAGCCGCGUGAGUGAAGAAGUAAUUCGUUACGUAAAGCUCUAUCAGCAGGGAAGAAAAUGACGGUACCUGAGUAAGAAGCCCUGGCCAAAUACGGGCCAGCAGCCGCGGUAAUACGUAGGGGGCAAGCGUUAUCCGGAGUUAGUGGGUGUAAAGGGAGCGUAGACGGUGCACCAAGUCUGAAGUGAAAUGUAGCAGCUAAACUGCAGAACUGCUUUGGAAACUGGCGAACUUGAGUGUGGGAGGGGUAAGCGGAAUGCCAGGUGUAGCGGUGAAAUGCGUAGAUAUUAGGAAGAACACCGGUGGCGAAGGCGGCUUACUGGGCCGUAACUGACGUUGAGGCUCGAAAGCGUGGGGAGCAAACAGGAUUAGAUACCCUAGUAGUC
rnacentral:rRNA from 1 species